rnacentral:rRNA from 1 species
UAACACGUAACAACCUGCCUUCAGGAUGGGGACAACAGACGGAAACGACUGCUAAUACCGAAUAAGUUCCAAGGGCCGCAUGGCCCAUGGAAGAAAAGGUGGCCUCUACCUGUAAGCUAUCGCCUGAAGAGGGGUUUGCGUCUGAUUAGCUGGUUGGAGGGGUAACGGCCCACCAAGGCGACGAUCAGUAGCCGGUCUGAGAGGAUGAACGGCCACACUGGAACUGAGACACGGUCCAG